rnacentral:rRNA from 1 species
CCUACGGGUGGCAGCAGUGAGGAAUAUUGGUCAAUGGGCGAGAGCCUGAACCAGCCAAGCCGCGUGAAGGAUGAAGGAUCUAUGAUUUGUAAACUGCUUUUAUAUGGGAGUAAACGCAGGUACGUGUUUCUGUUUGUAUGUAUCAUACGAAUAAGCAUCGGCUAACUCCGUGCCAGCAGCCGCGGUAAUACGGAGGAUUCGAGCGUUAGCCGGAUUUAUUGGGUUUAAAGGGUGCGUAGGUGGUUAGUUAAGUUAGCGGUGAAAGCCUGAGGCUCAACCAUAGAAUUGCCGUUGAUACUGUUUGGCUUGAGAAUAUUUGAGGUAGGCGGAAUGCGUGGUGUAGCGGUGAAAUGCAUAGAUAUCAGGCAGAACACCGAUGGCGAAGGCAGCUUACUAAACUACAACUGACGCUGAGGCACGAAAGCGUGGGGAUCAAACAGGAUUAGAUACCCUUGUAGUC